GACGAACGCUGGCGGCGUGCUUAACACAUGCAAGUCGAACGGAAAGGCCCUGCUUGUAGGGUACUCGAGUGGCGAACGGGUGAGUAACACGUGGGUGAUCUGCCCUGCACUUCGGGAUAAGCCUGGGAAACUGGGUCUAAUACCGGAUAGGAGCCAUUUUUAGUGUGAUGGUUGGAAAGUUUUUUCGGUGUAGGAUGAGCUCGCGGCCUAUCAGCUUGUUGGUGGGGUAAUGGCCUACCAAGGCGGCGACGGGUAGCCGGCCUGAGAGGGUGGACGGCCACAUUGGGACUGAGAUACGGCCCAGACUCCUACGGGAGGCAGCAGUGGGGAAGAUUGCACAAUGGGCGCAAGCCUGAUGCAGCGACGCCGCGUGGGGGAUGACGGCCUUCGGGUUGUAAACUCCUUUCGCUAGGGACGAAGCUUUUUGUGACGGUACCUAGAUAAGAAGCACCGGCUAACUACGUG
rnacentral:rRNA from 1 species